CGUGAGUGAUGAAGGCUUUCGGGUCGUAAAGCUCUGUCAAGUGGGAAGAAACCAUAUGGUGUUAAUAUCGCCAUAUGCUGACGGUACCAUUGAAGGAAGCACCGGCUAACUCCGUGCCAGCAGCCGCGGUAAUACGGAGGGUGCUAGCGUUGUUCGGAAUUACUGGGCGCAAAGAGCGUGUAGGCGGCCUGAUAAGUCAGAUGUGAAAGCCCUGGGCUUAACUCAGGAAGUGCAUUUGAAACUGUCAGGCUUGAGUAUGGGAGAGGAGAGUGGAAUUCCCAGUGUAGAGGUGAAAUUCGUAGAUAUUGGGAGGAACACCCGUGGCGAAGGCGACUCUCUGGACCAAUACUGACGCUGAGACGCGAAAGCGUGGGGAGCAAACAGGAUUAGAUACCCUGGUAGUCCACGCCGUAAACGAUGAGCACUAGGUGUAGCGGGUAUUGACCCCUGCUGUGCCGCAGCUAACGCAUUAA
rnacentral:rRNA from 1 species